rnacentral:rRNA from 1 species
UAAUACGAAGGGGGCGAGCGUUGUUCGGAUUUACUGGGCGUAAAGGGCGCGCAGGCGGCCAUCUUUGUCAGGCGUGAAAGCCCCGGGCUUAACCUGGGAGGUGCGCUUGGGACGGGGUGGCUAGAGAUCGGGAGAGGAGAGUGGAAUUCCCAGUGUAGAGGUGAAAUUCGUAGAUAUUGGGAAGAACACCGGUGGCGAAGGCGGCUCUCUGGACCGAUACUGACGCUGAGGCGCGAAAGCGUGGGGAGCAAACAGGAUUAGAUACCCUGGUAGUCCACGCCGUAAACGAUGUGUGCUAGACGUUGGGGAGCCUAGCUCUUCGGUGUCGCAGCUAACGCUUUAAGCACACCGCCUGGGGAGUACGGCCGCAAGGUUA